rnacentral:lncRNA from 1 species
GUCUCAUCCAGACUUUGCGCAGUUGCAGUGUAUACUGAGUUCAGAUUGGACUUUGAUUUUGUGAAAAUCUGUGGACAGCUGUGAACACAGGAUUAUGUUGAUUGGACUUUACAAUGAGGCUAACUGACGGCCUCCCCUGUAUUUUGCUGACUAACGUAGUCCCUUUUGAUCCUACCCAUGGGAGGAGACAGGCAGCAUUUGUGGGCCAGAGAGGGACUGUUUCUCUGGAAGCGGAUGUACUGAAAUCAGUGUAAACAAACAUUCUGAGAUGAGUCUUCAGACUCCUCUUUUUUAUUUUAGUGUUUAUGUUCUUUUAGCUUUUUUCCUACUUGAGAAUUUCGAUAAGCUUUUUUUGUUUUUUAGAAGAAAUAGUACCAACAUAAUAAAACAUUUGACCAUAGAAACAAAUGGUCACCCUCCUCUGCAGCCUGGAUUCCUGUGAUGGAAUACUGUUCUGUUGUUUCUUAGAGUUUUACAGGUAGUGCUCUUGCUGCUUUGGUGAAAGGUCUUCCAGAAGCUUUGCAGAGGCAGUUUGAAUAUGAAGAUCCAAUUGUGAGGGGUGGCAAACAGCUGCUCCACAGCACGUUCUUUAAGGUACUGGUAGCUCUUGCUUGUGACCUGGAGCUGGACACUCUCCCUUGCUGUGCCGAGACACACAAGUGGGCGUGGUUCCAGAGGUACUGCAUGGCCUCCCGCGUUGCUGUGGCCCUUGACAAAAGAACACCGUUGCCCCGUCUGUUUCUUGAAAAGGUGGCUAAGAAAAUUCGUGAAUUAAUGGCAGACAGCGAAAACAUGGAUGUUCUGCAUGAGAGCCACGACAUUUUUAAAAGAGAACAAGAUGAGCAGCUUGUGCAGUGGAUGAACAGGUUAUUCUCUUAGAAACAAGCAGUAAUGUCGAUCGAGAGCACGAGAGGCCGUGUGCAUUGUUCUUUCCCAUGGCAAAUGCUCACUUGAUGUUUAUUGUAGGCGACCACAUGACUGGA